UGAGGAAGCCUGGCUUCCCUUUGCGUCCAUGAAUACGUGCCACUGCAAAGGGGCGGUGUUCGUAGCUGACAAUGACAAAUCUGCUUAGACUUGUAGUUAGUGUUGACUUGGCCACAGCUUCAUCUUGCUGUACCUCAGUGAUGGUGUCCUCCUGAUCGUGAUCUUCAUUGAAGUUCACUUCCACAGGACUGAAACAGAUGUUGCAGAUGCUUGGUAUGCUACAGAAGCAAGAUACUUCAGUGUUUUACUUUCCGUGCCUCUGUGGAGGUGACCUGGUGCAAUUUCAUGGUUCCUUUGACUCCAGCGAGGAUGUUGGGCACGGCUUUGUCAUAUUUAGUUACAUCUGCAAUCCAAAAUAAUUUUUAUGCUCGAUCCACUCUUCUCAAGUAGUUUGAAUAGCUCCUUGAGAGUCUGCACAUCCUCCCCCCGUUGAAUGUGUUUGUCCGCACAACGUUUCACAGCCCUGCCCAUGCCAUCUAGUGACCCCUUCCCAUGGGUCUUUUCAGAAAAGUUCCAGGUGAUUUGUUUGAAUCCGUAGAUAUAUGAGUGCUGAGUAGGUACAUAUUCUUCUCGUUUCUGUAUUGGGUAACCGGACCAUCACUCAUCAUGUGUCACGAUUUGUGGAUUCUUUUUUUUUUUUUACAUCUCUUAGGAUAGGCUCCAGGUGAGCCCAUACUGCUCUCUCAUCAUGUCUAAGGGAGUCGGAUAUGGUGGCGUAGGACUGGCUUCCCUCUGAUGUGUACACAUCACUUGUAUGGAUCGUAGCCUGCUGUUUACUUCCCCCAAAGUGGAUUUCUGUGGCCAAUUUACAUGCAAAGUUCUCAGAGAAAUCUAUGUGAACGAGCACCUCUUCCUCUGUGAGACUUUCCUUCAGAAAUCUACAGUUCUCUACUUGGUGGAUCCAGUUGAACUGGUGCUUUGCUGGAACAUCUAGAUUUUGGUUGAAGACCUCUUUCAGGUCCUUAAGGGAUCCAGGUUGAGACACUUUCACAAAAUGUGUGUAUACAUUCUCCUCAACAGUUGUCGCCCUCUUCUACUGUUGCCAGGAGAUAGAUAGGCCUAUUUGAUGUCUCUGAUGUCUCCUCCGUCUCAGCAAAUGAAACUUAAUUGUAGCAACACUUUGCACACACAUAAGAUGUAUAUCUAGAUUAAUAGGAUAGUCGUUUUUUACUUACACAUAUUUUCAGUAUUAGCUGCUUGAUGUGCACUACUAUAAAACUGUACAACACAGACAUAAAACACCCUUAUCCUUCAAAAAAUGGUUUUUACUUAAAAGUAAAUAAUAUUAUGUAUUUCUGUGUACAUUUUUUUUUUAAAUAGAUGAAUAGAUUACUUAAGACAAAGAGAUUGAUAUCAUUCAGUAUAACUGUUUAGUCAUAUGGUGCAACUGGAAAUUCUGGUGACUAUGAAUGAUAAUUUUGGCUGUACCAUAUGAUUUUUCUCACGUAAACAUGUUUUACAGGCAACUGCUUGUGCACCCAUGUGAGAACUUGACUUUUACCUUAAGUAUGCAUCUUGAGUAUCAAAAUAAUAUACAAGCUUUUCAGAUAAUUGAACAUUUGUAUUGUUUUUUUGCGUUUUCUGGGAUGGGUAAAACCUGACAGGGAGUGGAAAUGUGAACUUAUUAAACAUUUACGAGCGAAUGCCUAACAUUUCUUCUUAACCAAAGGGUGCCUCACAGGCAUCUUAAUGAUGUCACAUAUUGUCACUAGUAUAUCAUCAUGUGAUUUGAUCCAAAAUGGUGACUUUAUGUCAGUUGCAACGAAUGAUAAUCAUGAAGGCUAAUUUUCCGGACAAAAGUAUGUAAAGUAUUUAAAACCUUUCUGCCUAAACUGUCUUACCCAUAUUAAAGUGUAGUGCAGUAGACCAUUAUAAAAUCAUGCCAGAAUAAUCUUUUGACAGUUUUGCUAUGAUUUAAGAUGUUUUAUUAACACUAAUAAGAUUGUAUUAUUUUUUGGGGACAGGUUCGCAGAAUGAAAAAAUGACCAUUUUUUCACAUCUAACCAUUAACUCUUUUAGGACAAAGUAAAAGAGAAAGAACGUAGUUUCAUAACAUAAAAUGUGUAUAUAUUGGUUGUUGAUUUUUGUCAAAUAUUUCAUUCGGACACCAAAAUAUGCACGUCAAGCCAUUGACCCAUUUACAUUCUAGUUGUGUUUACCCAGAUUGCCUUUCUCAGAAAUUCAGAUUUGUCGACAAGACCCUUCUGCUGCAGCAGAGUAACCUCCAUGCUGCCAGAUGAUGCCAUCUGGGGACCGCAGGUCCUUAGGUCUGCCUCAAGACCCCCAUGACAACACACUUCUGUCUUGCCUGUCUGCAGGCUUCCUCUGCCCUCUCGCAGACCCCCUGAGCCUGAGUGAAGCUGCUCUCCCCGAACCCGGUAACACACCUGGUAAAGGGGGACAGGAGGGGAGGAUAAAGACACACCCCUUGGAGCCAGUCAUGGGGCACUGCUUUUAGCUGAGGUGGAAGACCCUGGCUAUUUUCAAGCCGACAACUAUUCGUGGUUCAUGACCUGCUCACAAGCAUAUUUACAAUAUCAAAUUUCCUAAUGUUGACCUUCAAGUGGGGCUUUCAGCUUUAAAACUCAAUAGUCCACUUAAGAGAGCAGUUAUGGCAAACGUGCUGUCCAUUCCUGAGGUUAGACUGAGUAUUGAUUACAUGGUACAGUGCAGGGUCAAAUCAAACAUGAUUUUCAUGGUACAUUCUGUCUGCACAUAAUAUUAAGCAUUGAUUCAUUAAUUAUGUAGAAUGUAGACACUGUAAUCAGGAGGGCUGUAUGCAUAAUGUUUCUACAACUUAAAGUAACUGUCCAGUGUUUCCAGAUUUGUAUGAAAUAUGACCUAUAAUUUAUUACAAUAAGAGUAGAAUAGUUUUCUUCCAAAAAAAGUGUAAUAAAGGAUGUUAAAAAGCAGA